GUGGGGAAUAUUGGACAAUUGGCGAAAGCCUGAUCCAGCCAUGCCGCGUGUGUGAAGAAGGUCUUCGGAUUGUAAAGCACUUUAAGUUGGGAGGAAGGGCAUUAACCUAAUACGUUAGUGUUUUGACGUUACCGACAGAAUAAGCACCGGCUAACUUCGUGCCAGCAGCCGCGGUAAUACGAAGGGUGCAAGCGUUAAUCGGAAUUACUGGGCGUAAAGCGCGCGUAGGUGGUUCGUUAAGUUGGAUGUGAAAGCCCCGGGCUCAACCUGGGAACUGCAUCCAAAACUGGCGAGCUAGAGUACGGUAGAGGGUGGUGGAAUUUCCUGUGUAGCGGUGAAAUGCGUAGAUAUAGGAAGGAACACCAGUGGCGAAGGCGACCACCUGGACUGAUACUGACACUGAGGUGCGAAAGCGUGGGAGCAAACAGGAUUAGAUACCCCAGUAGUCC
rnacentral:rRNA from 1 species